UACGUAGGGCGCAAGCGUUGUCCGGAAUUAUUGGGCGUAAAGAGCUCGUAGGCGGCCUGUUGCGUCCGCUGUGAAAUCCCGGGGCUCAACCCCGGGCCUGCAGUGGAUACGGGCUGGCUAGAGGCAGGCAGGGGAGAACGGAAUUCCUGGUGUAGCGGUGAAAUGCGCAGAUAUCAGGAGGAACACCAGAGGCGAAGGCGGUUACCUGGACAGUUACUGACGCUCAGGCACGAAAGCAUGGGGAGCAAAAGGG
rnacentral:rRNA from 1 species